UCUAGCAACUCAAGAUGGCGGACGAGAGUGAGACAGCAGUGAAGCCGCCGGCACCUCUGCUGCCGCAGAUGAUGGAAGGGAAGGGAAACGGCCAUGAACACUGCAGCGAUUGAGAGAACGAGGAAGACAACAGCUACAACCGGGGUGGUUUGAGUCCAGCCAAUGACACUGGAGCCAAAAAGAAGAAAAAGAAACAAUAAAAGAAGAAAGAAAAAGGCAGUGAGACAGAUUCAGCCCAGGAUCAGCCUGUGAAGAUGAACUCCUUGCCAGCAGAGAGGAUCCAGGAAAUACAGAAGGCCAUUGAGCUGUUCUCAGUGGGUCAGGGACCUGCCAAAACCAUGGAGGAGGCUAGCAAACGAAGCUACCAGUUCUGGGAUACGCAGCCCGUCCCCAUACUGGGCGAAGUGGUGAACACCCACGGUCCCGUGGAACCUGACAAAGACAACAUCCGCCAGGAGCCCUAUACCCUGCCCCAGGGCUUCACCUGGGAUGCCUUGGACCUGGGGACCGUGGUGUGCUAAAAGAACUAUAUACCCUCCUGAAUGAGAACUAUGUGGAAGAUGAUGACAACAUGUUCCGAUUUGAUUAUUCCCCAGAAUUUCUUUUGUGGGCUCUCCGGCCACCUGGCUGGCUCCCCGAGUGGCACUGCGGGGUUCGAGUGGUUUCAAGUCGGAAACUGGUUGGGUUUAUUAGCGCCAUCCCAGCAAACAUCCACGUCUAUGACACAGAGAAGAAGAUGGUGGAGAUUAACUUCCUGUGUGUACACAAGAAGCUGCGCUCCAAGAGGGUGGCUCCAGUCCUGAUCCGAGAGAUAACCAGGCGGGUUCACCUGGAGGGCAUUUUCCAAGCUGUUUACACUGCCGGUGUGGUACUACCAAAGCCUGUUGGCACCUGCAGGUACUGGCAUCGGUCCCUACACCCACGGAAGUUGAUUGAAGUGAAGUUCUCCCACCUGAGCAGAAAUAUGACCAUGCAGCAUACCAUGAAGCUCUACCGACUGCCAGAGACUCCCAAGACAGCUGGGCUGCGACCAAUGGAAAAAGAAGGACAUUCCAGUAGUGCACCAGCUCCUCACCAGGUACUUGAAGCAGUUUCACCUCACGCCAGUCAUGAACCAGGAGGAGGUAGAACACUGGUUCUUCCCCCAGGAGAAUAUCAUCGACACUUUCGUGGUGGAGAAUGCAAAUGGAGAGGUGACGGAUUUCCUGAGUUUUUAUACACUUCCCUCCACCAUCAUGAACCAUCCAACCCACAAGAGUCUAAAAGCUGCUUAUUCUUUCUACAACGUGCACACCCAGACCCCUCUUCUAGACCUCAUGAGCGACGCCCUUGUUCUCGCCAAAAUGAAAGGGUUUGACGUGUUCAAUGCACUGGAUCUCAUGGAGAACAAAACUUUCCUGGAGAAGCUCAAAUUUGGCAUUGGGGACGGCAACCUGCAGUAUUACCUUUACAAUUGGAAAUGCCCCAGCAUGGGGGCAGAGAAGGUGGGGCUGGUGCUACAAUAACCAGUUGCCAGUGACAUUCUGGAUAAAGCCACUGAGAAUUCCAACCAGGAAAUGGAACCCCACAAAUUGGUCCAAUUUUCACAAACGUGAGAAUCCCUGGCAAAGGGAACAGAGCUGAACCGCUUUACCAAACCGCCAGCGAACUUGACAAUGUAUUGCAAUGGCGUGGGCUGCGUGACGUCACCUUUGGCUGUGUCUCUGGUCUCCCUGUUUUCCAGUUAAUCACAUCCUCAUGCAGCCAUGAUCAAGGGAAUGUAACUGCUGAAAACUAGCUCGUGAUUGGCUUAUUAUGGAGUUAACGGGUGAAUAAUAAAAGUAUAUAUAUGUUAUA